rnacentral:rRNA from 1 species
UCACACCCGUUCCCAUACCGAACACGGAAGUUAAGUUCUUCAGCGCCGAUGGUAGUAGGGGGCUUCCCCCUGUGAGAGUAGGACGUCGCCGGGC